ensembl:lncRNA
UGAGUGUAUAGUGUAGAGUGUAUAGUGUAGAGUGUAUAGUGUAGAGUGUAUAGUGUAGAGUGUAUAGUGUAGAGUGUAUAGUGUAGAGUGUAUAGUGUAGAGUGUAUAGUGUAGAGUGUAUAGUGUAGAGUGUAUAGUGUGUAGAGUGUAUAGUGUAGAGUGUAUAGUGUAGAGUGUAUAGUGUAGAGUGUAUAGUGUAGAGUGUAUAGUGUAUAGUGUAUAGUGUAGAGUGUAUAGUGUAGAGUGUAUAGUGUAGAGUGUAUAGUGUAGAGUGUAUAGUGUAUAGUGUAUAGUGUAGAGUGUGUA